rnacentral:siRNA from 1 species
CUAAAGAGCGUGUUGAAUCCC